UGCUACUUUCUGUCCGAGAGCAGGUCUCUGAUGGGGCAGCUGGAAGGGUGGGUCAUGGGCCUGGACCAGGGCUUUCUGGUACCUGCUUGGCGCCAAGGCCACUUAUUCGCCCGUCAUGAGGCAUCUGUCAGCCAAGGAGGCCAGGAGAUGAUGCUGGAGAUGCUGAAAGAGAGACCAUGGGUCAUCCUGACUGCAGAUCUUCCCAGGAGCCCCUCUGCUAAGGGAUCACUGGCUGAGCUUCCUAUUGCCCAAGUUCUGAAAAAAAAUUUUUGUUUUGGCAUCUUCUCCAUUUUUUUGGUUAAGGUAAGAAGGUAUUUCCAGUCCCUGGUACUGUCUCAUCGUUGGAAGUGGAGACCUUAAAGACUCCCAACACAAAAUGCCAGGUGGAUAUCCACUCCACCAGAGAGGGACCUUUGAACUUCAGGUGCCCAGAACAGUCUUGGCCCAAAGUCAAAGCUCAAGAAAAUGUUUGCUGAAAAAAUAAAUACACCAAAGAAGAGCCAGGAGGAGAGGCGACUGGGUGAAGUUUCAACUUAUCAAAUCAUUCCAUUGGCAAUCGUGAGGUUCCAGGAGCAGCACGGGAGAGAUCCCUCAAUGUACAAUCACUUUUAAAGACUGCUUGUGUCAUGAUUGCCAAUGUCCUAUUGGUGAAAGCAAGCCACAAGACCAAGUUCAGAUGAAAGGAAGUGAAAGAGAAUAAUUUGUGGCCACACGUGCUGAUUUCCAUUUUUGAAUUACAGGGUAUCUUACAGGCCAUGUUUUUAAGUCUCACUUCUAGUUACCUUCUAUGACAAUAUUGACAUACAGUCUUUGUAAAUUAGGUCAUGGGAUAGACUCUCAAAAUCCAAUUUUUAAGUUUCUGGGAGAUUGUAAUUUUUUGGAUAAAAUUUUCCUCCUAGAGUAUAAUCUUAGAUGGACACAUACAUUUUUUUAAAAGCCAUUUCUAGUCUCCCAAUUUAUGAUGGAAAUAUUUUUCAGUCUUCCAACAUGCUAUUAAAAAGAAAUCUAAAAUGUCAGUUUAUCUACCCCAUUAUUUUCUGCAUAGCUCUAAGAGGCAAUGAUGGUUUCACCCUUUAUAUUUUUAGAGCCAUUAUAUGGUUUGUACAUGAGUCAUGACCUUUUGGGAUUUCAAACCCCUUUGACUUCUGUAACACCUGUGGAGUAGUCAGAUGUGGGUUAUUUGUCCCAACCCAAGAACCUGAUUCCAUCUACUUGGGGGGAUCAGUUGGAUGAUCCCUGGAGCAGGUGAUAUGUAAGCUGGCCCUUAAAGGAUGAGUAUGGUCAGCCUGAUGAAAGGCAUGGGCAUACUAUGAAGCAUUUUCUAGGCAAGAGGAAUUGGUGGUGAUCAACAUGAGAACUGAACGUGAGUUUUUAUGACUGGAGGGGAGAGAGAAAGAGAGAGGGGGGGGGAGUAUAUGUGUGUGUGUGUGUGUGUGUGUGUGUGUGUGUGUGUAGUGGGAGAAAGGGGAGGGGAAAAGAUGGAUCCUUCCUUCAGCUGGGCCUACCACAACCUGAAUUCACCUGGAGGGAAUCAUUAACAUGUGUGAAUAAAUCUUGAAGAAGAGGCCAUCUUGCUAACCAGAGGCCAAAAUUCGUGGCCAUCUGGUGCUUUCCUCCAGCUGGGGCAGGUGAGCACAUCUGAAAGGAUUGGAGGGGUGUGAAAAGAGCCUUUUGCUUGAUCGGUGAAGGCAGGUUGUGAAAAUGCCACUUCCAUACCAGUCAACUCUAUAAAUCUGAGUGCCUGGAAAAGUUGUAUUUCCUCUGAGGAAUUGCUGCACUUUUGUUGGGUUGGUUUAUUUUAAUCUGAUGGAUGCCACGCAUGGUUAGACUGUAACUGAAUGAAGGUCUCUUUUUUCUUUGGCUGCUAGGAAGCUCAAGGAUGACUAUUUCUCUAACAUUUUAAUAAGUAAAAACACUUUAUUGAUUUUAUAAAUAAAAAUAUAAUAAUUUAAAAAUUUAAUCAAUACAGGGAUGUAUGAAAUAGUAUUUAAAAAUCACUACAACUAUUACCAUGAGAUGAAAAAUAUUCCAAAUAUCAUACUAU